rnacentral:lncRNA from 1 species
AUAAUAACCUGCUAGCCCAAGGAAACUCCAUACUUCUGUAACAUUAGUAGGGCGUUCCCAUCUCAUAACUGCCUCAAUUUUCUGAGGAUCUACAUAAAUGCCUUCUGCUGAGAUGACAUGACCCAGAAACACAACUUUAUCCAACCAAAAUUCACAUUUGCUGAACUUAGCAUACAACUCCUUAUCUCGCAAAGUCUGCAAAAUAAUCCUCAAAUGCUCAGCAUGCUCAUCUCUACUGCGAGAGUAAACUAAGAUAUCAUCAAUAAAAACAAUCACAAACUUAUCUAAAUAUGAGUGAAGCACCCUAUUCAUCAAAUCCAUAAAUGCAGCUGGGGCAUUAGUUAAUCCAAACGGCAUCACCAAAAAUUCAUAAUGACCAUACUGAGACCGAAAAGCAGUCUUUGGUACAUCAACAUCUCUAAUUUUGAGCUGAUGAUAACCUGAACGUAAAUCGAUCUUUGAAAAUACUGAGGCACCUCUAAGUUGGUCAAACAAAUCAUCAAUGCGAGGCAACGGAUACUUGUUGCGGACUGUCACUUUAUUCAACUGUCUGUAGUCAAUACAUAAUCUCAUUGUGCCAUCUUUCU